ACAGAGAGCUUGCUCUCGGGUGACGAGCGGCGGACGGGUGAGUAAUGUCUGGGAAACUGCCUGAUGGAGGGGGAUAACUACUGGAAACGGUAGCUAAUACCGCAUAAUGUCGCAAGACCAAAGUGGGGGACCUUCGGGCCUCAUGCCAUCAGAUGUGCCCAGAUGGGAUUAGCUAGUAGGUGGGGUAACGGCUCACCUAGGCGACGAUCCCUAGCUGGUCUGAGAGGAUGACCAGCCACACUGGAACUGAGACACGGUCCAGACUCCUACGGGAGGCAGCAGUGGGGAAUAUUGCACAAUGGGCGCAAGCCUGAUGCAGCCAUGCCGCGUGUGUGAAGAAGGCCUUCGGGUUGUAAAGCACUUUCAGCGGGGAGGAAGGCGGUGAGGUUAAUAACCUCAUCGAUUGACGUUACCCGCAGAAGAAGCACCGGCUAACUCCGUGCCAGCAGCCGCGGUAAUACGGAGGGUGCAAGCGUUAAUCGGAAUUACUGGGCGUAAAGCGCACGCAGGCGGUCUGUCAAGUCGGAUGUGAAAUCCCCGGGCUCAACCUGGGAACUGCAUUCGAAACUGGCAGGCUAGAGUCUUGUAGAGGGGGGUAGAAUUCCAGGUGUAGCGGUGAAAUGCGUAGAGAUCUGGAGGAAUACCGGUGGCGAAGGCGGCCCCCUGGACAAAGACUGACGCUCAGGUGCGAAAGCGUGGGGAGCAAACAGGAUUAGAUANCCUGGUAGUCCACGCCGUAAACGAUGUCGAUUUGGAGGUUGU
rnacentral:rRNA from 1 species